rnacentral:lncRNA from 1 species
CGCUCACGCCCGUCGUCCCAGCUGCUCCGUGAGCCCGAGCGCGGGCGAGGCCUGAGUCACACUGAGUCACUGCGCCCCAGCGCGGGCGACGAGAGCCCGUCCCAACAGCAACGACGAGAGGGCGAGGAAGGGGAGGGCGGUGAGGGCACCCGGGACCUCGUGGUGUAUUUUGACGACGGAAUGCGCUUUCGGAGGCGACAGUGGUGACGACGCAGAUGAGGUGACGUGCGCUGGAAGCGCCCCGAGCGCCACCCUGGGCCCGCACACGACUCGGUUUUGCACAGAGCGCGCCUGCCCUGCUGUCUGGCUUGGCGGACAACGAACCAUUUGGUCAGGGCCCAGGCGACCUGUGUGGUCCCGGGGAGGGGCAUGGAGAUGGUGACAGGGUAUCUUCUCCACGCCUCCCUCCCUUCCCCCACUGCCACCUCCGGUUUCCUGGGCAUGGGGCGAAGGGCGACAUCCGAGUCACUGAAGCAGGAAGCAGAGUUGGAAGAGGAGCCGGGAUGGAGAGGCUGGCGUGAGCACAGUGACCAGGACUGAUGCCAGGAGAGGAGAAAGAUGAUGGUGUUAAGGAAACGUGUGGACCCCAGGUCUCCAGCAGUUGAGACUGGUUAGAGCCACGACAACUGACAAAAGCAGCCAAGGAAAGGAAGACAGCGGGAAGUUCACCGCCCAUUUCCAGAAGACAUGAAUAUUCUUCCCCUCGCUGUUCACCUCCAGCCCCUUCAGUACAGAAACCCUACAUUUAGCCCCUGCCCGCUCACCUGUUGAGAAGUUGAACUGUGGGCCAAGCUCCUGCUUCUCAGUCCGUGGUCACUGAAUAAAGUCGGCUUCGGUUUCAUGUAUCGGCUUCGUGACACCAAACAGGGAAGGACCCCAUCUUUUGGGCAACCGGCUUUCUCAGUAGCAUGUGGACAAGUCUGAGAGCUAAGGACUCCCGGGAAGACCCACUCACAGGAGGUCUCCAUGCUCUUGUGAAUUUUACUUCCUGGAAUGCUGCCAGGUUCUCACAGCGAAAAUCAGAGAAAACCCCCUCAGGGCUCUAGCAGAGACAGGGGAGAAGGGACCAUUUUGAAAUACGCCAGAGUGCUCUGCCCUCUUUAGGAAAAGAAUGGGUUCAUGUCCUUCGCAGGGACAGGGAUGAAGCUGGAAACCAUCAUUCUCAGCAAACCAACACAGGAAC